rnacentral:lncRNA from 1 species
CUUACAGGACUCUGGUUGUGAAAGAGCUGUCCUCACUAAACCCUUACAGGACUCUGGUUGUGAAAGAGCUGUCCUCACUAAACCCUUACAGGACUCUGGUUGUGAAAGAGCUGUCCUCACUAAACCAUUAUAGGACUCUGACUAAACACAGAGCGAGAGAGAGAGGAGAGAGGGAGAGAGAGACUCUUUCCAUGGCUGGCUUUAGAGAGAGUUACUUGGGGAGAAACUCAACUGGACUGUCAUCAGCUUAAUCCUGGUCCAACCCAGGCAUCAGCCAUACCCCUAUACACUUGGUUUCAUUGCAGCUGUAGAUCCUGCCUCAAGACUGUGUCAACACACUGACAGACACACACAGGAUGUGGGGGUACUGAAAGCUUGGAUGUGGUGAUCCUAUACCUGUAAAACAGAGUUCAGACUGCAUGGGCCUGGUGGGAAUCAGCCAGGGAAUCAGGUGUGCUCAGGCCUGGUGGGAAUCAGCCAGUGUGUUUCAGACUGCGUGUGCUCAGGCCUGGUUUGGAGUUGCAGCCAGCCAGUGUGUUUCAUUGGGUACUGAAUGAUUUAAUGAAGCAUCACAUUCCCCCCCCCCCCCCCCGAGGGUUUUCCUGUAGUAUUCCUGUGGGGUUGUAUCUUUUAUCUGAACGUGUUGUAACUGUUAGUCUCUCUGUUUAUUUGACUCUGCUUAUAACAAAGCGUUCAGGUUCUUCACACCACAGCGUGUCUGCUUCCUCCGUUUGUGUAUCUCCGUGCAGGAGGAAUGUUGUGCUGAUCGCUCUUUAUUUGUUUUUGAAGAACUUGAAGACAUGUAAUGUUGAAAUGAUUUAGGCUGACCAUUCUUUACAAAUAUGUAUCGUUAUACUGAUUGUCAGAGGGUAAUUUACAACAUCACCCCAAUGUGUUGACCAUACAACAACUUUCCAAGGCUUGUAAGAUAGUUUUGAAAGACAGCGUACAGUAUGUUACCAUAAAAUCCAAAGACAUUUUGGUUUAACAGUACAUUACUGUAAACUGUACUUUUUUACUGUAACUUACAAGUAACUGGCUGCCAGUAUACUGUAAGAACAACAGGAUUUUGUUUUACACUGUAUAGUUUAGUUUUACCAUAAGACCUUGGUCUAUAACUUUAGUUAGUUAUUUUCCACUGAAUCAUACGUUAUGUAUUAGGGGGUAAUAAAAUGUGAAGCAAUUUGGCAUUAUGAGUUGUUAAAUAUUAUCUCUUUGUGUGGCAUUAUCUUUUAGAAAUGACUAGAGGGGAACUUUUCAAAUUAAUUUGGAAAAUAUCUAAUUCUCUGGCACCGGGUUUAACCUUUUAAAUGUGGCUUCUAUUAAAACACAUAGAAAUUGUUGACCAGGGGGGCACAUGUACACAAGCAGGAGCUGUCUUGUGAAAGUCCACUUAAAACUUCCAAACAAAUUACUGUUCGCAAAAUAAUGUCUUCCAUUUUCAUAGACGGUGUGAGCGAUAAACUGACUAGACCAUAGAUGUGAUUCCAGAUGAGGAGCAUCUGUGUCGUUUUAAAAGAACACUUAAAGGAAGCAGCUAUUUUUUUAUUUUUUUACUUGUCUUACAGGACUAGGCACCCUCUCUCUGUGUAGAAGCCUCUGCAGCACAGUGUAGGCCUAAGCCGUUUCCAUAGAGACCAAGUCCACCCCCUCUAUGGGCUACUGGCCCCUUCACUGUAGCUCAUACACCCUCCUGCACCCCCCUCACCUCCUGCACCCCCCUCACCUCUGGCCCUCCAUCUGUCCUCUCAUUUCCUUUCUCUCCGCCUUCUCUCCUUGCUCCCUUCCCUCCUUCUUCUUCUCUCUCUCCCUCCUUCCCUCUUUCUGGCCCCUGCUCCCUUCCCUCCUUCUCUCCCUCCUUCCUUCCCUCCUUCUGGCCCCUGCUCCCUUCCCUCCUUCUUCUUCUCUCCCUCCCUCCUUCCUUCCCUUCUUCUGGCCCCCGCUCCCUUCUCUCUCUCUCUCUCUCUCUCUCUCCCUCCUUCCCUCCUCCUGGCUCCCGCUCCCUUCUCUCUCUCUCUCUCUCUCUCUCUCUCUCUCUCUCUCCCUCCUUCCCUCCUCGUGGGCCCCCAUAUACUCUCCUUCACAGUAUUCUUUCAUCUCUAACCCGAUUGAGCCAAAACAAACAUCAUUAUCCUGCUCAUAUGGUUAAAUAAGAAUUACCUUCCUUUUCAGUCCAACCAGACCCUUAGUUUCUGAUCACGAGCAUUGAGUUGACUGAGGUGUGCGUGUGUGUGUGGGUGUGUGUGUUGGUGUGUGAGUGUGUGUGCGUGCGUGUGUGUGUGGAAUUGGUCUUGUGAAAUCAGUUUUCCUGAUUUUUCUUUUUUUGUUGCAGCAUGCAGAUUGAUUGACUGAAUCAUACUAAUGGAGGAAUCAAUUCAUUUCCCAAUUAAAAUAGAUACAGAUCCGCAAUGGACAAACAACAAUUGCCUAUAGAAACAUAAAAACUUACACACUGUAUUAACUGCUUAUUCCUGCAUCCCAAUUAACAACUUAACAUAAUUGUUCUCAUCCAUAAUGUCUCUUCCUUUUGGAAUGAUAUCCAAUGAAUAUGUUGUUUGAAUUGACCAGUCUGGAGUGAUAUCUCAAUCCUGCAUGUUGCAUUACUAAGAGACUGCUGAGUAUUUGUUCUAAACAAUCCCUGUUCUAAACAAUCCCUGUUCUAAACAAUCCCUAUUCUAAACAAUUAAACAAUCCCUGUUCUAAUCAAGCCCUGUUCUAAACAAGCCCUGUUCUAAACAAUCCCUGUUCUAAACAACUAAACAAUCCCUGUUCUAAACAAUCCCUGUUCUAAACAAGCCCUGUUCUAAACAAUCCCUGUUCUAAACAAUCCCUGUUCUAAACAACUAAACAAUCCCUGUUCUAAACAAUCCCUGUUCUAAACAAUCUCUGUUCUAAACAAUUAAACAAUCCCUGUUCUAAACAACUAUACAAUCCCUGUUCUAAACAAUCCCUGUUCUAAACAAGUAAACAAUCCCUGUUCUAAACAAUCCCAAACAACAGCCCUGCUUUGUGAGGUCACUGACAGACUGAACAAUGCUCAGCAUCCAACUCAAUAUGGUUAGUUAGAUUAAACAUGACUGAAUGAUAUGUUAGUUGAAGGACCUUGACUGUUUUAUAGAUUUGUUUUCAUGUAUGUCCUGCUCCCAGCAUCUCUAAAAGGGCAAAUAUAAUGACAGGGAAGCAUACGUGUGUGUGUGUGUGUGUGUGUGUGUGUGUGUGUGUGUGUGUGUGUGUGUGUGUGUGUGUGUGUGUGUGUGUGUGUGUGUGUGUGUGUGUGUGUCGAGUGUGUUCGAAAGAGAGACUACUAAAUCACUGAAAAUGACUAAAACCUACAUGAGCUAGAUUAGACCACCUGCAGUUUACACACAGAGACACACACACACACGCAGUCACACACAGACAGAGGUAUGUUUUCUUCUAAUUAAAGCGAUCAUGUAAAUUCCCUGGCCUAUGACAACAUCCAUCUCUACUAACCGUACCAUAUGAUUAAUACCUGACUCAUAUCCUCUGGUUCAUUUUCAUGUCUUAAUGGGGUCUUGGACAAUGAAGCAUCUAUUCACUUGUUUAGACCGAAUGGAAAAGGCCCGGGGAACUCUUCAAUCAACAUGUGCUCUAAUAACCAACUGAUUGGGGUUUUGUCCCAGCUUCAUAUUGGGAAAGGUAUAGAAACAGAUUUCCUAGAAUGGGUAAAAGAUCCUCUGAACCAAGGCAAUCAGCCACCUAGUAGAAUGCCAUUGAACCCCCAUAAUGCAUUGUUCUUUACAUAACUGUACUGUAAUAUAGAACUGGUAAAAACAAAUGCUGUAAAUUGACAUCAAUUUGUCACAGUACAUUGCUUGAACGAGGAUUUUCCAUUCUAACAGUAGUAUUUCUAUAGCAAUAACUUCAGUAGAGGUGUGUGUCUAGUCUGUGGGUUGUUCUGAGUCACUGUGUGGUUAGGGGGGCUAAUGCGAAGUUCCUAAAGAGAGGUCUGUGUGUGACUGCGUGUGUGUGUGUGUUCAGCGAUUAACGUCUCCAGGCUUGUACUGCUUGGGGGAAACCGAGGGAGGUAAUAUUGGUAAUAGCAAUUUGCUGCCAUGUUCUGGUACUGUAAAGGCCCAAUUUGCUGCCAGGUUCUGGUACUGUAAAGGCCCAAUAAUAAUGAUAAGUCAGAUACCAUCUCAUGUUGUUGUGCCCUUGAGGAAGGCCCUUCAAACUGCUCCAGGGGCACUGCAGAGCAGCUGACUGUGUCUCCAGAAGGAUAAACAAAGUGACUACUUGUAUUUAUUUAUCCAUUAUUUAACUAGUCAGUUCAGAACAAAUUCUUAUUUACAAUGACGGCCUACCCCGACCAAACCCGGUCGACGCUGGGCCAAUUGUGCGCCGCCCUAUGGGACUCCCAAUCAUGGCCGGAUGUGAUACAGCCGGGAAUCGGACCAGCGACUGCAGUGAUGCCUCUUGCACUGAGAUGCAGUGCCUUAGACCGCUGCGAUAAUGAUAGACAGUAAAGCAAUCUUCUCAUAAUCUUCUUUUUCCGCGAGCUGGGUGUGAUCCCAUGACACAAUUCAACAAUGGACCAAGUUAUUUCAGCAAAAAAAUCGAAAUGAUUGAAAUAACUGUUUUAGUUGUCAGUCAUGAGUCUUUCAUUCAAACUUUUCAAAGUACACCAUACCAUGCUAUUGUGAUUUAGUGCUGAGCUUUGUAGUUUUAUGAGUUUAAUUUGAAUGUAGCCUAGAUAUUCUCUGCAGAUCCUCUCAAACUCUGUCAGGUUGGAUGGGGAGUGUUGCCGCACGGUUAUUUUCAGGUCUCACCAGAGAUGUUCGAUCGGGUUCAAGUCCGGGCUCUGGCUGGGCCACUCAAGGACAUUCAGAGACUGCGUUGGCUUGGAUGUGUGCUGAGUGCUCAACAGCAGGUUUUCAUCAAGGAUCUCUCUGCACUUUGCUCCGUUCAUCUUUCCCUCCAUCCUGACUAGUCUCCCAGUCCCUGCCACUGAAAAACAUUGCCACAGCAUGAUGCUGCCACCACCAUGCUUCACCGUAGGGAAGGAGCCAGGUUUCCACCAGACGUGACGCUUGGCAUCCAGGCCAAAGAGUUCAAUCUUGGUUUCAUCAGACGAGAGAAUCUUGUUUCUCAUGGUCUGAGAGUCCUUUAGGUGCCUUUAGGCAAACUCCAACUGGGCUGUCUUUUAAUGAGGAGUGUCUUCCGUCUGGCCACUCUAUCAUAAAGGCCUGAUUGGUGGAGUGCUGCAGAGAUGGUUGUCCUUCUGAAAGGUUCUCCCAUCUCCACAGAGGAACUCUGGAGCUCUGUCAGAGUGACCAUCGGGUUCUUGGUCACCUCCCUAACCAAGUCCCUUCUCCCCCGGUUGCUCAGUUUGGCUGGGCGGCCAGCUCUAGGAAGAGUCUUGGUGGUUCAAACUUCUUCCUUUUAAGACUGAUGGAGGCCACUUUGUUCUUGGAAACCUUCAAUGCUACAUAAAUGUUUUGGUACCUUUCCCCAGAUCUGUGCCUCGACACAAUCAUGUCUCUGAGCUCUAAGGACAAUUCCUUGUUCCUCAUGGCUUGGUUAUUGCUCUGACAUGCACUGUCAACUGUGGGACCUUAUAUAGACAGGUGGGUGCCUUUCCAAAUCAUGUCCAAUAAAUUGAUUUUACCACAGGUGGACUCCAAUCAAGUUGUAGAAACAUCUCAAGGAUGAUCAAUGGAAACAGGAUGCACCCGAGCUCAAUUUAGAGUCUCAUAGCAAAGGGUCUGAAUACUUUUGUAAAUAAAGGUAAAUAAAUGUCUAAAAACAUGCUUUUUGCUUUGUCAUCAUUGGGUAUUGUGAUGCUAUUAUGGGGUAUUGUGAUGUCAUUUAUUGAGGAACACAUUUAAUUGGAUCAAUUUUAGAAUAAGGCUGUAAAGUAACAAAAUGUGAGAGGAGGAAAGGGAGGACCAUCCUCCCCAGUGAAUUUG